CGGCGUGCUUCGACUUUCGCUUUUCUUCUCUAAGGACCUUAGGAGGCCAGUACCCCCACUUGAGAGGUGUAACCUUGAGAAAGCAUCAGAGAAAUCCCAUUUGAACAACAUUCUACAAAUACCUCACCAGAACUCCUCAAAGCUGACAAGAAUUUCAAGAUCAAAGAAAAUUUGAGAAAUUGUCACAGCUGAGAGGUCCUUGAGAAGACAUGACAGCUAAAUGUCAUGAAAAAGUUAAGAAGAACUUAUUUCACAUCUUUCUGACCUUUUUUGGGCAGAUGAGUUGGA